rnacentral:snRNA from 1 species
GGAUGUGAGGGCCAUCUGGCUGCGAUAUCUGUCACCCCACUGAUCGCCAGGGUUGAUUCAGCUGAUGUGGCUGGCUAGGCGGGUGUCCCCUUCCUCCCUCACUGCUCCAUGUGCGUCCCUCCCAAAGCUGUGUGCUUGGUCGAAGAGGACGGCCUUCUUGGUCGAAUAGAGACGGACCAGUCUUCAGUGGAGGGUAUAGGAGUAGCUGCGCUCCCCUGCUAGAACCUCCAAACUAGCUAAGGGCCCAGGUUCUAGCCUCCGUCCCCCACCUUAGGGAAAAAGCUUUACGAGUGGUAAAGCCGUAUUCC